CCUACGGGAAGCUGCAGUGGGGAAUAUUGGGCAAUGGGCGCAAGCCUGACCCAGCAACGCCGCGUGAAGGAAGAAGGCUCUCGGGUUGUAAACUUCUUUUUUCAGGGAAGAGUAGAAGACGGUACCUGACGAAUAAGCCAUGGCUAACUACGUGCCAGCAGCCGCGGUAAUACGUAGGUGCCAGGCGUUGUCCGGAUUUACUGGGUGUAAAGGGCGUGUAGCCGGGUUGACAAGUCAGAUGUGAAAGCCUGCGGCUUAACCGCAGAACUGCAUUGGAAACUGUUGAUCUUGAGUACUGGAGAGGUAGACGGAAUUCCUAGUGUAGCGGUGAAAUGCGUAGAUAUUAGGAGGAACACCAGUGGCGAAGGCAGUCUGCUGGACAGCAACUGACGGUGAGGCGCGAAAGCGUGGGGAGCGAACAGGAUUAGAUACCCCAGUAGUC
rnacentral:rRNA from 1 species